rnacentral:lncRNA from 1 species
CAAAAAUUUACAGACAGCACAGCAGCAUUACAUAAAUAGUAUGCUUCUUUACAAAAUUAUGACCCCCAAAAAUAAACAGUAUGCUUCUUUACAAACAGUAUGCACAGCAGCAUUACCACACAUCAUUUCUUUCUCUUCCUUGGCACCAACUUCUCUAUUCUUUGCCUACUUUGGGUUUGUAAUUGUUUUCCAGUAAUAGCAGCUUUCCCAUUCCAUGUAAGGCUGCCUGGUGAGUAAGGAAGAUCAGAUGGAACACUUAAACCAUUGUGAUCACCUUUGAAUGCAAUUACCCUUGAUUCUGAAGGUUGUGAUG